GGUCAAAUCAUCAUGCCUCUUACAUCUAGGGCUACAGGCGUGCUACAAUGGCCGGUACAACGAGUCGCAACACGGUAACGUGAAGCUAAUCUCUUAAAGCCGGUCCCAGUCCGGAUUGUCCUCUGCAACUCGAGGGCAUGAAGUUGGAAUCGCUAGUAAUCGCGCAUCAGCACGGCGCGGUGAAUACGUUCCCGGGCCUU
rnacentral:rRNA from 1 species